rnacentral:lncRNA from 1 species
CAGAACCUCCGUCUCUCUCUCUCAUGCUCUGUAAACCAUGAAUGAAGCUCUGUUUGCACCUUUACACACUCUGCCUGCCAGAUGUGAGCCAGCCAAAUGUUUGGAAACCUGAAGAAAUACCAGGUGUGAAGGAGGCCUCCAAGCCAGCAGCUCCAGUCGGACCGCGGUGCUGAGGCUGAGCGGCGGAGCGUCAGGAGAGGUUCCAUCCAGCGGGGGGUCAUCUGAUUGGUUUAGGAGGUCAUGGGGUGAACCAUGGAAGAAGAAGAUAGAAGGCGCCACCAUCUUUUUUUUGUGGGAAACCAUCUGAAAAGUUUAGAGCGGUGGCGGAUGGCGGCUCCCUGGCUGCCUCGCUGUCGCAGUUUACAGGUAAACACGCGCCUCUCAUCACCCGCGGCG